rnacentral:rRNA from 1 species
GACGAACGCUGGCGGCGUGCUUAACACAUGCAAGUCGAACGGAAAGGCCCUGCUUUUGUGGGGUGCUCGAGUGGCGAACGGGUGAGUAACACGUGAGUAACCUGCCCUUGACUUUGGGAUAACUUCAGGAAACUGGGGCUAAUCCCGGAUAGGAGCUCCUGCUGCAUGGUGGGGGUUGGAAAGUUUCGGCGGUUGGGGAUGGACUCGCGGCUUAGCAGCUUGUUGGUGGGGUAGUGGCUUACCAAGGCUUUGACGGGUAGCCGGCCUGAGAGGGUGACCGGCCACAGUGGGACUGAGAUACGGCCCAGACUCCUACGGGAGGCAGCAGUGGGGAAUAUUGCACAAUGGGCGGAAGCCUGAUGCAGCAACGCCGCGUGCGGGAUGACGGCCUUCGGGUUGUAAACCGCUUUCGCCUGUGACGAAGCGUGAGUGACGGUAAUGGGUAAAGAAGCACCGGCUAACUACGUG